UACAGAGGAUGCAAGCGUUAUCCGGAAUGAUUGGGCGUAAAGCGUCUGUAGGUGGCUUUUUAAGUCCGCCGUCAAAUCCCAGGGCUCAACUCUGGACAGGCGGUGGAAACUACCAAGCUGGAGUACGGUAGGGGCAGAGGGAAUUUCCGGUGGAGCGGUGAAAUGCGUAGAGAUCGGAAAGAACACCAACGGCGGAAAGACUCUGCUGGGCCGACACUGACACUGAGAGACGAAAGCUAGGGGAGCGAAUGGG
rnacentral:rRNA from 1 species